GAGCAAGCAAACUUAAUCACUAUGCCACCAGCCCCAGACCGGCAUGUUGGAUUUUAGUUUUAAAUGUUAACUCUUUGUGUAUCUUCUAUUUCAGUCACUUUCUCUCUGACCAUUUUUACUUCUUCAUCUAAUUUUCAUUUUUUUUUAUUUUGUGCUUUUCUUCAAUGUCCUUUAUUAAGUUUUCAUUGGAAUCUAUUCUUCCUUAGGUGUCUUUCAGUUUAAUCUCUAUUUAUGAUACUAUUUUGUUAUUUCUUGUCUGCGAUCAAUUCUCACUUAAUUUCUUUCUUUUUUCCAGUCUCUUUCUGUUAUUUGUUUUUGUAUUUCUGAUGUGAGGUAUUUGUCCACAUCUCCAAGUGCUUAUUUGAGGAUAUUUAAUUCAGUUUGGAGUGUUGUGUUAUAGUUUUCUUCAGCUCUAUGCUUGGUUUUGGGGGAGAAUUCUGAUCAGUCAAAAUGCUCUGAUUUGCAUUUCUCUUCUUUUUUCCCUGUAACAGUAGUUUUGAGUGCGUGUGUUCCGCCUUCUUCCACCCCAUUCACUCAAUGACAGCAUUCUUCAUUCGAGCACACCCGACGCUGUCCCUGAUCAGCAUCCUUUAUGAAUGGGUGAGAAUGUGGACACAGAGACAGACACGACACGGGGAGAACACCAAGUGAAGACGAAGGCAGAGCGCGGGAGUGCUUCUACAAGCCAAAUAGCGCCGAAGAUGGCCAGCAAGCCACCAGAAGCUAGGCAAGGGGCCUGGAACAGAUUCUUCCUCACAUCCCUCAGAAGGAACCAACUCUGCUGACACCUUGAUCUCAGACUUCCAGCCCCCAGAACUGUGACACAAUAAACUUCUGUUGUGUAAGCAAGCCCAGACUGUGGUACUUUGUUCCACAGCCCUGGCACUAACACACUCGCGUAGGAGAGGGAUGCCUGUGUGAGCCCCCUAAUCUGGACUGGAAGUCAGUAAGAGCUUCCUAGAGGAGGUAAUGCUGAGCUGGGCAUUGAAGGAUGGGUAGGAGUUUUUCAGGCAGAGAAGUCAGGAAAGAGCACUCUAGGCAGAGGAAAGAACAUGUGCAAAACCCAGGAGGAGGCGUGAGUCUAUGUCAGGGACUCUUCCUAGAACCUCUUUGAAUUUCCAUACUCCUGCCUGACCCCCAAACCCCUGAGCCCUGGAAACCCUCUGCCCACACCCUGUGCUCCAAGAUAAGGGAAAAAUUACUUUUACCGAGAGGCCGCUUGGUGACGUGCACUGCUCUCACCAGCAGGGGGUGCGCACACGAGCACAUGGAUGAGGGAAGAUGGGCACAGGCAGAGGAACCUCCUGGCAUUUGUCAGGAUCCAAGGCCUCUGCUCUGGGGAGGAGGUGCAGCCAGCCCUGACAACGCUAGGGUGGGCAGCUCUGUGCUGGCCGAGGGCCCUCCCAGAUCCCCACAGACACGCCACCCUUGGAGGCCACACACUCAGUCACACGGCCCUUGGUACAAGUACUUUAUUACAGUUACAAUAGUGCCACACCAAAACUACAGUAGCACAGAACAUAAUAAUACAAAAAAUAGAUUCCCAGCUCCAAACCCACAUUCAUGGACCCACAGAGAAGCCAGCCCUAUGCCUCUGGCUCUAAGGGGAGGGGUCUCUCGGAAGGCAGCGGCCCAUCCCUCAGCCUUUUCAAAGCUCUGGAAGGGUAGGGGUAGGAGUAGCGGGGGACGCUUCCUUUGCUUCCAUCCCUGCUGGGCCUGCGCCUUCCUCUCCCCGCCCCCCUCCCCCUCCCCCUCCCCCUCCUGAAGCAGCGAGUGCAGCCUCUGUGCCCUCUGGCUGGACCCUCAGCCCUAGGACGCUUGCUUCUGGCUGGGAGGUCCCAGUAUGGUGCAGACCGACACUCUGGAGGCUGUGACCCUCCACGGGGAAGGAGGGUCGGGGGAGAGCAGGCCGGGCAGGGUCCAGGACUGGGAAAGCUACCUCUAUGUGGCAAGGUGCGUGUGGCGGGCUCCUGCCCCUAGCUCCUUCUCCGGCUCUGGUCCUACCUUUCCUCUGAAGAGCCACUAGGCCUGCUGCUUGGGGGACCACGGCCUUAUCUGGAGCCCACCUCCACUGCCCCUGCCCCAGCUCUGGGGCUGAUGUGAAGGUGGGUGAGGCAGUGGCUGAGCUGUCUGCUCCUCUCUGGCAAGGAGGAGUCUGGCUUCCUGGGUGAUGCAAGUGCACUGUGGCAGUGGGGGCUGGCCGGGGGUCUGGCCUG